rnacentral:lncRNA from 1 species
UCGAUUUGAUUCUGUCGUACCGCGUAAGCAGCCAAGAUGGCGAUCCCCGAUUCGUGACGUCACAUGAAGUUCGGCAAGCCGAUUGAACGAAUGAUUUCAGUACUUUUGACACUAAAUCGCUACCGCGUAAAAAAUCGAAGUUCGGCGCCUGAAGCCGAUUCCCAUUGGAAGUGUCAGUUGAAGCCGGGCACUUUUCAGUAACCGUGAUCAAUUUUAAUUUCUUAUUUUCACUGUUUUUCAACAAUAUUAGGAGCUAUUUACGGUGGGCGACAAAUUUUAGGAACAUCUUAAUCAAUAUAAAAUUGAUAUCGGCGUGGAUUUUCGUGUUUAAAUACCUAAAUACAGUGUCAUGGAGAUAGUCGUUUUAUGGGCUCCUGCGGAAGAAAAUGUCUUCAGAAUCUUGAGCAAAUCGAUUGCAGGAUACUUCGAGAGAAAAGCCAGUAUAUACUUCUCACAGAGAGUAGCUACAUUAAUAAUUUUAGAUUAUCAAAAAAUGCAUUUCGGACUUUGUAUCAUGACUUAGAACCAUAUCUGGAGGUCCAAUGCUCUACAACUGUGCAAUCGACUUUAAGUGACAAAUGCCCCCAAUCAGCCUGCAAUCGUGAGAUAAUAUAUCAAGUUUCCUCGGACAAAAACUGAGCAUGUAGAAGUCUCCAGAGGUUUUAAUGACAAAUUUGGAUUUCUUGGAGUACUUGGAUGCAUCCACGGCACACACAUUGCCAUUAUCCAACCUCACAAGUGGGAAGAGGCCUUCUUCAAUAGCAAGUAUUACCAUUCAUUGCAUGUUAUGUUGGUUUGUGAUGGAGAUAUGUGCAUUACAUUUGUGAUGCAUCCAAUGGGAGUGUUAGUGCUAGACUGCUAGCCAAGAUAACCAUAUUUGGAACAACAGCACUUCGAGAAGGGAAAAGGAACAUCUCCUUAAUUUAAAUAUGUUUAAGUUCAUUAAGUGGACUUGUGUGGUCCUUGAAAUGUAAAUUACAAAGUCAGUGUGGUGUAAUCAAAAGUGGCAGAUUUGUUAUUCAAUAAUACAACAUCUAAACAAACCUUUCUUUAUUGGCAUCAAAUAAACUAUUUUCAUUACGCAGAUUUA